AGCAGGUGGGAAGUGGGUGACAAUGCAAGAUGCAAAAACCACCGGCUUUUCAUUUGUGGCAAUAGUGCAUAUGGAGCUGAAAGAUGGGUUAUGACACUUGAAAGAAUGUGUGAGAGGUUUGCAAGCGCCUCAGCUGAAACUAUAUACAUGCAUACCUAGUUGUGAGGCUGAAGGAGAGUGAUUAGAUCACCUGACGGAAGAAGAAACAUAAUGCACCUAACUCACUCUAUGGUUAAAAUGUUUUGUGGGAAUUUGGACAUGAAAGAUGACAAAAACUUCCCACAUUUAACCAGGAUGAAUAAUGGUGGGACUAGGUUAUCUAGAUCUGUUCGGGUGAAUCACACAAAGCCAGAUGAGCCUAAAGACAUGCUACCUGCUUUUGACUUCCGCUCUCUCCACAGAAUGUUUUUGACUGCUUAACAAGGAACAAGCUAAGGCUCAAAGUGUAAAAUUAUGUAGCCCAUAUUUCAUUUAACAGUAAAUUUUAAUCUUGAAUUAUAGAAUCAUUAGUAUUUUGGCAGACAUGUUUACGUCUAGAGGCUUAGAGUUAAAUUUGGCAUUCAAAUUAGUAUUUUGUAGACAAUCCAUACCCACUAUGUGGUUGUUGCAAAUACACUUGUAUGCUCAACUACUCAGAAAAUGAAGUCGCUUUUGAUUGCCAA